rnacentral:rRNA from 1 species
GCGAUACACCUAACACAUGCAAGUUGAACGCAUAUAUUUUUAUAUGAGUAGCGAACGGGUGCGUAACACGUGAGAAUCUACCCAUAGCUUAUGGUUAAAUGCCGUAGAAUCUUAUAGAUUUAGAUAUAUAUCGGUUAUGGAUGAGCUUGCGGGGUAUUAGGUAGUUGGUGUGGUAAUGGCGCACCAAGCCCAAGAUACCUAGCCGGUUUGAGAGAACGAUCGGCCACACUGGGACUGAGACACGGCCCAGACGCUUACGAGCGGCAGCAGUGGGGAAUAUUGGACAAUGGGCGAAAGCCUGAUCCAGUGAUAUCGCUUUGGGGAUGACGGCGACA